ACAUCCCACUGGAGAUGGCUAACAGUCUCAACACAGAGGUAGCUGUGAACACCCAGGAGAACACCCAGAGGAUGGACGAGGAGUUGGGAAGAGAAAGGGAUUCUCCUCUCUUCCUGGAACACCAUCACAUGAGUUCUCCAGAUGAAUUUACACCUGAAAUCCAUGAUCAGGACAACAGGAGAGAAUACCAGU